GAUGAAGAACGCAGCGAAAUGCGAUAAGUAAUGCGAAUUGCAGAAUUCAGUGAGUCAUCGAAUCUUUGAACGCACAUUGCGCCCGCCAGCAUUCUGGCGGGCAUGCCUGUUCGAGCGUCAUUUCAACCCUCGAGCCCCCCCGGGGGCCUCGGUGUUGGGGGACGGCACACCAGCCGCCCCCGAAAUGCAGUGGCGACCCCGCCGCAGCCUCCCCUGCGUAGUAGCACACACCUCGCACCGGAGCGCGGAGGCGGUCACGCCGUAAAACGCCCAACUUUCUUAGAGUUGACCUCGGAUCAGGUAGGAAUACCCGCUGAACUUAAGCAUAUCAAUAAGCGGAGGA
rnacentral:misc_RNA from 1 species